UACGUAGGGUGCAAGCGUUAAUCGGAAUUACUGGGCGUAAAGAGCCCGUAGGCGGUCUGUUGCGUCGGCUGUGAAAACCCGGGGCUCAACCCCGGGCCUGCAGCCGAUACGGGCAGACUAGAGUUCGGCAGGGGAGACUGGAAUUCCUGGUGUAGCGGUGAAAUGCGCAGAUAUCAGGAGGAACACCGGUGGCGAAGGCGGGUCUCUGGGCCGAUACUGACGCUGAGGAGCGAAAGCGUGGGGAGCGAACAGG
rnacentral:rRNA from 1 species